AGUGAACGCUGGCGGUAGGCCUAACACAUGCAAGUCGAACGGCAGCACAGUAAGAGCUUGCUCUUACGGGUGGCGAGUGGCGGACGGGUGAGGAAUACAUCGGAAUCUACUUUUUCGUGGGGGAUAACGUAGGGAAACUUACGCUAAUACCGCAUACGACCUACGGGUGAAAGCAGGGGAUCUUCGGACCUUGCGCGAUUGAAUGAGCCGAUGUCGGAUUAGCUAGUUGGCGGGGUAAAGGCCCACCAAGGCGACGAUCCGUAGCUGGUCUGAGAGGAUGAUUGGCCAGACUGGAACUGAGACACGGUCCAGACUCCUACGGGAGGAAGCAGUGGGGAAUAUUGGACAAGGGGCGCAAGCCUGAUACAGCCAUACCGCGUGGGUGAAGAAGGCCUUCGGGUUGUAAAGCCCUUUUGUUGGGAAAGAAAAGCAGCAGGUUAAUACCCCGCUGUUCUGACGGUACCCAAAGAAUAAGCACCGGCUAACUUCGUG
rnacentral:rRNA from 1 species